GAGCUUGCUCUUAUGAAGUUAGCGGCGGACGGGUGAGUAACACGUGGGUAACCUGCCCAUAAGACUGGGAUAACUCCGGGAAACCGGGGCUAAUACCGGAUAACAUUUUGAACCGCAUGGUUCGAAAUUGAAAGGCGGCUUCGGCUGUCACUUAUGGAUGGACCCGCGUCGCAUUAGCUAGUUGGUGAGGUAACGGCUCACCAAGGCAACGAUGCGUAGCCGACCUGAGAGGGUGAUCGGCCACACUGGGACUGAGACACGGCCCAGACUCCUACGGGAGGCAGCAGUAGGGAAUCUUCCGCAAUGGACGAAAGUCUGACGGAGCAACGCCGCGUGAGUGAUGAAGGCUUUCGGGUCGUAAAACUCUGUUGUUAGGGAAGAACAAGUGCUAGUUGAAUAAGCUGGCACCUUGACGGUACCUAACCAGAAAGCCACGGCUAACUACGUGCCAGCAGCCGCGGUAAUACGUAGGUGGCAAGCGUUAUCCGGAAUUAUUGGGCGUAAAGCGCGCGCAGGUGGUUUCUUAAGUCUGAUGUGAAAGCCCACGGCUCAACCGUGGAGGGUCAUUGGAAACUGGGAGACUUGAGUGCAGAAGAGGAAAGUGGAAUUCCAUGUGUAGCGGUGAAAUGCGUAGAGAUAUGGAGGAACACCAGUGGCGAAGGCGACUUUCUGGUCUGUAACUGACACUGAGGCGCG
rnacentral:rRNA from 1 species